rnacentral:rRNA from 1 species
UACGAAGGGGGCUAGCGUUGUUCGGAAUCACUGGGCGUAAAGGGCGCGUAGGCGGCUUUUCAAGUCGGGGGUGAAAUCCUGGAGCUCAACUCCAGAACUGCCCUUGAUACUGGGGAUCUUGAGUCCGGAAGAGGUGAGUGGAACUCCGAGUGUAGAGGUGAAAUUCGUAGAUAUUCGGAAGAACACCAGUGGCGAAGGCGGCUCACUGGUCCGGUACUGACGCUGAGGUGCGAAAGCGUGGGGAGCAAACAGG